CCCUGAUAGAAAUUGGAAUUCAAAGUGCGCGCAACAAAAUCAGUGAACACUGAUCGAAAGCGGAAUUCAAAGUGCACAAAAGAAAAUAUGGGAAAACCCAAAGCGAAGAAUCAAAUCGUGAAGCGGCCUAAGGCUAAAAAAGUACUGAAGAAGACAGCUGUUAAAAGGCCAAAGCUACCCCCUCUAAAAUGUGUUCGAAGCUCGGGUGGCUUAGCAGUGUCGAAAAAAAAGGUUAACAUGGGCAACUACCAGUUUGAAUCCUGGCAAUUUUGUGGACAGUACCAUACUGUUUGCCGUCGCUAACUUCAGAUGGAGAGGGUCGUAAAUCCCAUACAAUUUUUUGUUUAUCAUAUUGAAUCACUAUAAAGUUAAAAAUUAACAUAACCUUAUUUUAAAUAUCCAUAACCCACGAGUGCUGAUGCAACAUCGUUAAUUGCGUGCUCUGUGUUAGAAUCAUUAACGGACCAGUUCCUGAUAUUGGUUUACUUAAUGGCGUCAUCAGCUGCAUGAUGACGUUUGUAAUUGUUAUUCUGAAUAAAAGGUUGACAAUUUGCUAUUAAGAAACAACAAACAGUUCAAAUUAGAAAAGGGAUAACUCAACAAUGUU